AGUUUUGAAAGUGGCUGAGUUUGGAAAGACCUAAUCAACUUUCUAACAAACAGCUCUGCUAGCUUGUAGACAUCUAGGUGAACAUAUAAGGAUAUCUAGCAUGUAAUAAAUUCUAUGAAACUUUUAAAAGAAUAAGUAUAUUAUUAUGAGGUUGUUUUUAGAAUAAAGGCAUAUAUUAAUAUAUUUAAAUAGUUUGUACAUUUUGGAAAGUGUUAUGCAAAAGUGAUUCUGUUCACAGCUGCCAUUAUCCAAGGACAUAUGAUUCUCUGGAGGCUUACAUCACUGGAAAAAGUCUUUGGGCCCCUGAAGAUUACAGUACAUGUAAUGCUGCAAAAGGAGGAGGAUGCUGGGCCAGGCACAUACAACUCAAUUUACUUCUAUUGGCUGGAAAUAUUUAAAGCAUGACAGUGGCGUAGGUAAAUUACCAAAUAGUGGAUCUUAUGUUGGAUUGAUCAGCCCUGAUGAACUGACCUGACCAUUGUAAUUGAAACCAUAACUCAUGACCACUCUAUCUGUAUAGGUCCUGGUAUACCCUGGGAUGAUGUUCACCCACAACUUUUAACUUGAAAUCUUAAAGGAAGUUUUGCUAAACUAACAAGCAUGAAUGUCUGGUACAGUAAGAUAGGGUUAAUGGUCAACCUGACAUUAUGGUUCAUUCAUUGGGACAGCUAAUGUUUGUGUCUGACCAAGCAGUUCUCAAGUUAGGGCUUGAUGAAGUCUACAAACUGACCAUUAUAUCUACUGGACAAAAAGGAUCAUAUUCUGACCCCCUCCCUCCCAACCAUUUCGUCUGCCUUAUCUUGAUGACUUUGAAGGGUACAAAUGCACUUGGAGCUUUUGAUGGUGUUCUGUUCAAUGCAACAAUUCCCACAUCUCCAGCAGCUGGCUUUGCAGCUAUUGGCGCAGACAGUUAUGGCUUGGAUGAUUUUGAUAAUUAUCUGCUUCCGCUCUUCAAAACUGCCAUGUUGCAGUUAAUUCCUUGCCACUCUGGUACUGUGUGUGGUACAGAACCACCUUCACAUUUAUUUUUCUAAUUAGACAUUAAGCUUUCCAUGUGCUGAAAUUUAGCAUUGUAGAACCAUAACUAUAUUAACCUUUUAGAUUGUUAUCUUUCGUAAUGUUAAGACUAGAAAACAAGAUCUCAAAAUUAUAUUUAGGACGAUGAUUACAAUUACUUAGUCAAUUACUUAGAUAAAAUAAUUAUAAAACAAAAGUUAUAUAAAGACAUAAUUAUACAAUGUUUAUGUUUUGUAUGUUCAUAAAAAUGUGUAUAGCAGUGUUAUGGAGUGUGUGUGUGGGUGUUUCCAAGGUAACGUUGAGAAAUUAGCGAUUGGUUGGUGGAUAUGCAGUGAGGAUGGUGAAAUUACAAAAAUGGUCUAGUGUAAUGCAAAUUACCCAGGGAUCUGAAACUGUACAGACAGGUUUUUUGUAGUGAGUUAGAUUUUGUUUAAAAUACCAUUUUAUGUUAUUGCUACUAGAUUUAUUUCAUUUCAUCUAGGUUAGUAUUAGGGUUAGUGUUAUGUUGUAAUAAAAGUUAUAUUUAGUUUUGUUUCAAAAAAGAAGUUUUUUCAAGUUUCACAAUUAAAUAUAUAUAUAUAUCCAAGCAGUAGUUCUCACCAAACUUUCAUACACUGGCAGAACUACCUUAAAAAAAAUGUUCUGCUGGAGGCUGGUGUGGGUAGUAUAGAAGAAAUACUUAUUCAACAGCUGUGAUGGGUUGGGGGGCGACUGCAUGCCAAAUGGUAUCUUCAAGGAUGGCGUAACGGGGUGCUCCUGUAAGCACUAUAAAGAUUAACUCAGGCACCUUUUUGCCAUAGAGGAAAGUAGGUUGUAAUAGGGUUUAUGAAAACACUGCACUCAUCCUUUAUCUUCAGCAUCAUUAUUAUUAUUAAACCAUUACUCAAAUUUUGCUUUGUUAUUUUGCCAUGUAGAGAUUUACUGCUGGGGUGAACAAUGCUUAAAAAAAUACAAGUAUGCUGUGUUUUUACUUUGGCCCAGCGGUGGCUCACACAUUUAUGUCUUUUGUAUUUUUCUAUUAUACCAGUUCUGUUACUGUGCAAAUGCAAAAAAAAAAAAAAAUACAAGUUGUUGCACUAUUGAUAUUUUUUAUACUAAUUUUUUAUUUAUAUUAUUAUAUAUUUAUUAUUAUCUAAGCAUCUGUUUGUAUUUGAGCUGGGUAAUGAAUAUAGAUUCUUAAAUUUAAUUGUUGUUUGUUGCUUUCCUCACUUUUAAACUGUGACUAUGUAAAUUUUGUCUAGAUGGAGAAUGGUAAUGUAUUAGUGUCAAUGAUUACAUUGAGAAUGGUAAUGUCUUAGUGCCAAUGAUAACAGUGAGACAAUCAUUAGAUUGAGGAUGGUAAUGUCUUAGUGUCAAUGGUGUAACACUAUGAUUAGAGUGAGAUGGACGAGAUGAUUUCAGUUCACGUAAAAAUGGGUCUUACACAUUGUCAAGCAAAGAGGUACCAUUUUUGAUCACACGACCACGUUUUUUUUAGUAAGUUAGCGCCAUGAUGUAUCAAGAGACGGAGGUGUCUCUGUUUUAUGAAAUUGGAUUAAAUAAUAUGAGUACCUAAUUGGAGCUUUUUCUAUGGAUGUAGUUUGUAUUUGAUAUGAAAUAAUUCGUGAUGCUAUUUUAUGGCUGAGAUUGCCUACUUUCUGAACUAUUAUUUGAUGUAAUAAAUAUUUGUCUGACA